GAUGAACGCUGGCGGCGUGCCUAAUACAUGCAAGUCGAGCGAACGGACGAGAAGCUUGCUUCUCUGAUGUUAGCGGCGGACGGGUGAGUAACACGUGGAUAACCUACCUAUAAGACUGGGAUAACUUCGGGAAACCGGAGCUAAUACCGGAUAAUAUUUUGAACCGCAUGGUUCAAAAGUGAAAGACGGUCUUGCUGUUACUUAUAGAUGGAUCCGCGCUGCAUUAGCUAGUUGGUAAGGUAACGGCUUACCGAGGCAACGAUGCAUAGCCGACCUGAGAGGGUGAUCGGCCACACUGGAACUGAGACACGGUCCAGACUCCUACGGGAGGCAGCAGUAGGGAAUCUUCCGCAAUGGGCGAAAGCCUGACGGAGCAACGCCGCGUGAGUGAUGAAGGUCUUCGGAUCGUAAAACUCUGUUAUUAGGGAAGAACAUAUGUGUAAGUAACUGUGCACAUCUUGACGGUACCUAAUCAGAAAGCCACGGCUAACUACGUG
rnacentral:rRNA from 1 species